UUUCUUAGGGUGACCUGCGGAGGGAUCAUUACCGAGUUUACAACUCCCAAACCCAAUGUGAACGUUACCAAACUGUUGCCUCGGCGGGAUCUCUGCCCCGGGUGCGUCGCAGCCCCGGACCAAGGCGCCCGCCGGAGGACCAACCAAAACUCUUAUUGUAUACCCCCUCGCGGGUUUUUUUAUAAUCUGAGCCUUCUCGGCGCCUCUCGUAGGCGUUUCGAAAAUGAAUCAAAACUUUCAACAACGGAUCUCUUGGUUCUGGCAUCGAUGAAGAACGCAGCGAAAUGCGAUAAGUAAUGUGAAUUGCAGAAUUCAGUGAAUCAUCGAAUCUUUGAACGCACAUUGCGCCCGCCAGUAUUCUGGCGGGCAUGCCUGUCCGAGCGUCAUUUCAACCCUCGAACCCCUCCGGGGGGUCGGCGUUGGGGAUCGGCCCUGCCUUGGCGGUGGCCGUCUCCGAAAUACAGUGGCGGUCUCGCCGCAGCCUCUCCUGCGCAGUAGUUUGCACACUCGCAUCGGGAGCGCGGCGCGUCCACAGCCGUUAAACACCCAACUUCUGAAAUGUUGACCUCGGAUCAGGUAGGAAUACCCGCUGAACUUAAGCAUAUCAAUAAGCCGGGAGGAA
rnacentral:rRNA from 1 species